rnacentral:rRNA from 1 species
UACGGGGGGGCAAGCGUUGUUCGGAAUUACUGGGCGUAAAGGGCUCGUAGGCGGCCAACUAAGUCAGACGUGAAAUCCCUCGGCUUAACCGGGGAACUGCGUCUGAUACUGGAUGGCUUGAGGUUGGGAGAGGGAUGCGGAAUUCCAGGUGUAGCGGUGAAAUGCGUAGAUAUCAGGAAGAACACCUAUGGCGAAGGCAGCUCUCUGGGACGGUACUGACGCUGAGACGCGAAAGCGUGGGGAGCGAACAGG